rnacentral:rRNA from 1 species
UACAGAGGUCUCAAGCGUUGUUCGGAUUCAUUGGGCGUAAAGAGCGCGCAGGCGGUCGUGCAAGUCGCGUGUGAAAGCCCCCGGCUCAACUGGGGAGGGUCACGCGAUACUGCUCGACUCGAAGGCAGGAGAGGGAAGUGGAAUUCCCGGUGUAGUGGUGAAAUGCGUAGAUAUCGGGAGGAACACCAGUGGCGAAGGCGACUUCCUGGCCUGUUCUUGACGCUGAGGAGCGAAAGCGUGGGGAGCGAACAGG